rnacentral:rRNA from 1 species
UACGGGGGGAGCAAGCGUUGUUCGGAUUUACUGGGCGUAAAGGGCGCGUAGGCGGCCUCCGCAAGUCAAUUGUGAAAUCUCCGGGCUUAACUCGGAAAGGUCAACUGAUACUGCGGGGCUAGAGUGCGGAAGGGGCAACUGGAAUUCUUGGUGUAGCGGUGAAAUGCGUAGAUAUCAAGAGGAACACCUGCGGCGAAGGCGGCUCACUGGACCGGUUCUGACGCUGAGGCGCGAAAGCGUGGGGAGCAAACGGG